rfam:Triticum aestivum genome assembly, contig: Triticum_aestivum_CS42_TGACv1_scaffold_407336_5BL
GCCUUUUUAACUCGGUGGUAGAGUAAUGCCAUGGUAAGGCAUAAGUCAUCGGUUCAAAUCCGAUAAAGGGCU